GAUGAACGCUAGCGGUAUGCUUAACACAUGCAAGUCGAACGAAAAAGAAAUUUUUAGUGGCGAACGAGAGAGUAACGCGUGAGAAUUCAUCUUUAAGAAGAGGAUAACAGUUAGAAAUAAUUGCUAAAACUCUAUAUGCUUUUAAAGAGAAAUAAGUAAUUAUAACUAAUUAUAAGUGAAAAAAGAAAUUUGCUUAAAGAGAAGCUCGCGUCUGAUUAGCUAGUUGGUAAGGUAAAGGCUUACCAAGGCGACGAUUAGUAACUGAUCUGAGAGGAUGAUCAGUCACGCUGGAACUGAGACACGGUCCAGACUCCUACGGGAGGCAGCAGUGAGGAAUAUUCUGCAAUGGGCGAAAGCCUGACAGAGCAAUACCGCGUGAAGGAUGAAGGCCUAUGGGUUGUAAACUUCUUUUCUCAAGGAGGAAGAAAUGACGUUACUUGAGGAAUAAGCAUCGGCUAACCCUGUGCCAGCAGCCGCGGUAAUACAGGGGAUGCAAGUGUUAUUCGGAUUCAUUGGGCGUAAAGCGUCUGCAGGUUGAUAAUUAAGUCUUUUGUUAAAGCUUUGGGCUUAACCCAAAAUCUGCAAAAGAAACUGGUUGUCUAGAGUAUAGUAGAGGUAAAGGGAAUUUCCAGUGGAGCGGUGAAAUGCGUAGAUAUUGGAAAGAACACCAAUUGCGAAGGCACUUUACUGGGCUAAUACUGACACUCAGAGACGAAAGCUAAGGUAGUCAACAGGAUUAGAUACCCUGGUAGUCUUAGCUGUAAACGAUGGAUACUAGAUGUUGUGUAUUUUUAAUAGACAGUGUCGUAGCUAACGCGAUAAGUAUCCCGCCUGGGAAGUAUGCUCGCAAGAGUGAAACUCAAAGAAAUUGACGGGAGCCCGCACCAGCGGUGGAUUAUGUGGUUUAAUUCGAUGCAACACGAAGAACCUUACCAGGACUUGACAUGGAGAGAAAUUUUUUGAAAGAAAAAUGUGCUAUGGCCUCUUACACAGGUGGUGCAUGGCUGUCGUCAGCUCGUGUCGUGAGAUGUUGGGUUAAGUCCCGCAACGAGCGCAACCCUUGUUUUUAGUUAAUCCUCUAAAAAGACUGCUGAUUAUAAAUCAGAGGAAGGUGAGGACGACGUCAAGUCAUCAUGCCCCUUAUGUCCUGGGCUACACACGUAAUACAAUGGAUAUGACAAAAAGUUGCUAGUUUGCGAAAACCGGCUAAUCUAUAAACAUAUCCCUAGUUCAGAUUGCAGGCUGCAACUCGCCUGCAUGAAGGUGGAAUCGCUAGUAAUCGCAGGUCAGCUAUACUGCGGUGAAUCCGUUCCCGGGCUUUGUACACACCGCCCGUCACACCAUGGGAGUUAAUCAUACCCGAAGCUAUUCUCUUAACCUUUAUUGGAUGGAAAUAUUUAAGGUAGGAUUGGUGACUGGGGUG
rnacentral:rRNA from 1 species